CCAAUAGCGUAUAUUAAAGUUGUUGCAGUUAAAAAGCUCGUAGUUGAAUUUCGGGACCAAUCUGCCGGUCGUGCCUCCGGUACGCACUGGUUUUAUUGGUUUCUCCCUUCUGACGAACCAUGAUGUCAUUAAUUUGGUGUCAUGGGGAAUCAGGACUGUUACUUUGAAAAAAUUAGAGUGUUUAUAGCAGGCGCACGCUUGAAUACAUUAGCAUGGAAUAAUGAAAUAGGACGUUUGACCCUAUUUUGUUGGUUUCUAGGAUCGACGUAAUGAUUAAUAGGGAUAGUUGGGGGCAUUAGUAUUCAAUUGUCAGAGGUGAAAUUCUUGGAUUUAUUGAAGACUAACUACUGCGAAAGCAUUUGCCAAGGAUGUUUUCAUUAAUCAAGAACGAAAGUUAGGGGAUCGAAGACGAUCAGAUACCGUCGUAGUCUUAACCAUAAACUAUGCCGACUAGGGAUCGGAUGAUGUUAAUUUUUUAAUGACUCAUUCGGCGCCUUACG
rnacentral:misc_RNA from 1 species